ensembl:snRNA U6 U6 spliceosomal RNA
ACUUUAAAAGUAAAAAAAAAAAUUAAGAUGAUUCAAAGACAAUUAGCAUGGCCCCUGCGCACGGAUGGCACCCAGAUUCCUAAAAAAUUCCAUAUUUUU